GGGUCAGAAGGUGGAUCUUGGAUAAUCAAAUCGGGGAAAAUGACUAUGAGCUUGUAGAAGACUUGAACUGCCCUCAGCAGAAAUCCUGUUCGGAUGACUGUGGGCCGUUUAUGAUCCAUUUCAUGGAAAGCAUAGUUCACGGAGUGCAACCCAGCAAGAAGAAAGGCAAUGACAUGAGGAAAACAAUUCUUGAGAGGUUUGCAAAGGAGGAAAGUGCUUGGAGCGUCGAAAAAUACCUUGCUGAAACUGCAGAUGCUGUAGGAGAGCCAAAAAAAUAGAAAAUGAAUAUUUUAAGUAGUUACUUUCUGUUGAACUUACUUUGAUUUGGAAUAAUUUCGGAUGAUUUGACAUCUUUUCAAUUUAAUUUCUGUCAACUUGAAAGAA